CUUUUCUAGGAGUAUCACUGCUGUUUGAUGAGCAAUCAGAACAGGUGCAUCAAAGCAACCAAGGCUUCUGUAACCCUCUCCUACAUCUCUUCAAUGUAUUUGAAUGGCAAAGGAAGACAAUACAGACACCUCACUAGAACAGUCACACCUGCUGGAAAAGUCAUACCUGCUGAAAUACUAGACCUGCUGUAAGCCCUGAGGAUGGUAUCUCACCAUAAGAGAAAAGUCCUGAGCUCCAAUUCAAAGAGUUCUAAUCCAGAGCUAAUACUAUUUCUUGAUGGGGCUACACAAGUACUUGUGCUUCCUACUUUGGUUUCAGUGGAUUUGAAGCCCCAUGGACAGAAGACAAAAAUAUUAUGUCACCUCACACGUGUUUUGUGAUUUGCAUUGAAUUCUGAUUUAAUCUUUAAGUUUUACAAUUUGUUUCAUCUCUUUAGUAUUUUUGAAAGUUGGGUGAAAAGUAGACAGUUUCCCUCCUGUAUAUGCCUGUAUAGAAAGCAAGUAUUCAUUUUUAUCACCGUAUCUCGAAAAUUUUCAUUCAUCUGUGGCUUGGCCAGAACUCUACAAACAACUAUCUUUAGCAAACAGGUUCUAGAGCACUUGGAUGGCUUAAAUUUCCGCAGCAUUUUAUUACCUGUGCUCUAUCUCAAUGUUUUGCUCUUGCCUCUAGUGUCACAGCAGCAAUAAUCCUGUGAGCCUUGUGCUCAUUCCUGACAAAUGAUCAGUCUCUUAUUCACUUGACAAAAGAAAUGAACUGUGUUUUGCUGUACUUCAUUUCAGACACACAAAUGUCUCAUGUGAGUCUAUCUCCAUGGAGAUUGUGAUUCAACAUAGCAUCUGGAAAUGCAUUUUGAAACCUUAUUCCUCCUUUUCCCUGGCACAAUGGGCUAUCCAGAAUCUUGUGUGUUUUCUUAGCACCAUUCAUCUGAUCUCAAACUCCUUGCAACAAAGCUGGUGUCUUGGAAAAAAUUCUCUACAUGAUAAAUUUGGGCUACCUUCUUAUUCUUCCCAAUAUUUUCAUCAUCAUUUAAAUAAGCAGGCAUACUAACAGCCCUGGGAUAUAGCAAUGCUCUCUGCUGUUGUUCAUAAUUUUGUAUUUACUUAGUUUUUGAAAGAGUUCUCUUGUAAGGAGUGAUAACUAAUUGUCUGUCUUAUGUUCUUUGUUUGUCGUGUUAUUCCUUGGUUAGGUCGUAUCAAGGGAGAAUGAAUCGGUUUUAAUGAUGGAAAUGGCAAUUAGUGCUGCUGAGCUAUAGUUUCAGUUUUUUGACAGAGCUCCUGAACUUAAUAAAUUAUGGAUAAGUAGAGGGGGAAGGAAGGUCUCAAAACCUGCCUGAGCAGCACAUGAACUGGUAGCACACUACAUUGUAUCUCCAUUCAAUAAAUGUCCAUUUCAGUCUGGUUUUGCGGUCAAGUGUAAAGAAGAAACAUCAUCUGUAAUUAAUAACAGUUUUUAAAAAAUCCAUAUGAAUACAUGCCAGCACCAGGAAUGAAACUGAGAGAAAAAAAAUGGUUGGAAAUGAGAAUAAAAAGUGCUUCAGAAUAAUGAUGAAAACUCAGACAACCAGUCUGGGGGGGUGAACAGAAGCCUCCAACACUAAGCUUUGUGGGACACAUCUGAGUUGAAAGCCUUUUUAGAACCAUGUUGGAUUCCAUGGAGAUAAAAAAUAUGUCAUCACACAGAUUAUGCCAAUGUGUCAGGUAAGAUGCAAGUUGCUUCCUUCAUGUGUCUGUGCAUUUUCCCCACCAAGACUGUGAGUUUUUGAACAUUUGUGGUUGGAAAAAAUACAUAAACCUGUUCUUCAGUGUGUUCAUAGGGGCAAUAUUUAUAUUUCACCUGUACCCAAAGUAUAACAAGCAGUGUCUAAAUAUUACUUAUUUAUUAGUACUGAAUACUAUUUUCUUAAUAAUAAAGCCAGAUACAUUUGCA